GAGAGAGAGAGAGAGAGAGAGAGAGAGAGAGAGAGAGAACAGUGGGAGGGAGAAAGUCCUCCACUCCAGGACUUCUGAUGAAGCGCGUCACUUAGUCUAUCAGAGGAAGCAGAAGACUUUGGUCCCCAGUGAGAAACAAGAGGCAGAUGUGAAAGUGGACUGUUUGUAUGCAAGAGGGGUGAAAAGAGAGAGCCCCCCCCCCCUCCUCUCUGAGGGUCAGCUGAUGAAAGAAGAUGUCGAGCCAAAUCAGCAAUGCCCUCUCCGACUUCUUCUUUGAGUACGAGACCCCGCGCCAGGUGCUGGUGAGGAACAGGAGGGUGGGAGUGGUGUGCCGCCUGAUCCAGCUGGGGGUCCUGGCUUACAUCAUCGGGUGGGUGUUCAUCUACGAAAAGGGCUACCAGUCCACAGACACAGCAAUAAGCUCCGUCUUCACCAAAAUGAAAGGAGUGGGCUACACCAACAUAAAGGGAAGUGAGAGAGUGUGGGAUGUGGCCGACUACGUCUUCCCUCCACAGGGAGACUCAUCUUUUGUGGUAAUGACAAACUACAUUAUAACUGAAGGCCAGAAGAUGGGAAAGUGUCCAGAGCUGGACGGCAAGCACAACUGCAGCUCUCACGCUGACUGUGAAGGAGGGAGUUUCAAACGUACGGGACAUGGACAAAUGACGGGGGUCUGCCUGAACGCCACUAAGACCUGCGAGGUGCUGGCGUGGUGUCCUGUGGAGGAUGAUGUCAUGAUACCAGAUCCUCCUAUGCUGAUGUCUGCAGAGAACUACACGCUGUUCAUCAAGAACUCGGUUACCUUCCCCGCAUUUGGCGUCUCGAGGAGUAACCUGGUGGAGAAUAUUGAUAACUCAUACAUCAGCAAAUGCCUUUAUGAUCCGACGGAUGCUCCACUGUGUCCCAUCUUCCGACUGGGAGACAUAGUUAAACUGUCUGGCUUCAAAUUCGAAACGAUAGCCAGAGUGGGAGGGGCCAUUGGUAUUGUGGUCGACUGGACAUGUAACCUAGAUGUGGAUAUAAAACACUGUAAACCAAAGUACACCUUCCACGGUCUGUACGGGAACGCGGCCGAGACAGACCAAGCCAGAGCGUCAGUUGGCUACAACUUCAGGUAUGCCAAGCAUUAUAUGGAGGACCAUGAACAGAAGAGAACCCUUCUCAAAGUGUUCGGGAUCAGGUUCGACAUCAUUGUGCAGUCGCUGGCAAGAAAGUUUGAUAUCAUCCCAACCCUGACAGCUAUCGGCUCGGGAGUGGGCAUCUUCGGGGUGGCAACCGUAGUAUGUGACUUGGUGCUGCUCUAUUUGCUGCCGAAGAGAGAAUUUUACAAGAACAUGAAAUUUAAAUACACCGACUCUCAUGUACAGCCUGACAGCGAGUCGCUUGGUAUAGAAACAAGCGUCUAUUACACCUUUGAAGCGAAUACAAGACAAGUCCAAGGCACUUGCCAAUCCAUUGACCCUGAUUCAGAGGCAUGCAGCACGGAGACGGAGGUAUGCAAAAAAUGACAUGGGAGCAACAUUUUAAGGUACUUUGAAGGACUACUGAACUGGGACCCUGCAAUAGACCCCACACACACACACACACACACACACACACACAGCAGUG